ACAUGACCCCUCACACAUUGUUGAAAUCAUAUGCUGGAUGCUUUAAUGUUUUUAUGUGUUUUUUAGUUAAUGCUCGGGCUAUAAGAAGACCACGUUGGCUAUUUAAUAGCGGAAUAAAGGGGACCUUUCAUAGUGGUUGGUGGAAAUCGAGACAUUUUAGUGUCAAAAGGUUGUCGGUAGUCGGGACACGCAACUCAAAAUCGGGACGUCUGGUCACCCUACGAGUAGACUAAUAAUAAGCCACAGCAUGCAUGUUCCCCACGGUGUGCUGGCUUGAGGAGAAGGACGCUUCAGAUUCAGAUUCUGACACCAGUGCUGAGAUUGAUGAAGAUAAUAAGGUUGCCAGUGCUGAGGUUGAUGAAGUCUUCUUCUCCUCGUCGUUCAACACAUUCAUCUCCCUCAGGUAAUGCAGGAGAUUGAUGACAUCGUGGUCCGACAACAUGCCGAAUAAUUUAGAGCCAAUCCUUCCAAGUUCUGAAAGAUAAGUCAAGAGAAAUGGAAAAUGGCAUCAAAGCAAAACGUUACAACAAUUCUCAAAUUACCACCUGUUGUUGUAGUGUUGGUGGAAGAUGCCAAAUAAAACGAAUUUCUCAACUUUACCUAUAAGCUUCUGUGUGUUCAUCUUAA